AAGAGGUUAGUUUACUAAAAACAUAAGCUUGUCGGGCUUAAAAAGAUUUAAAUAAUCACCUCUU
rnacentral:tRNA from 1 species